GAGGUGAAAAGAAUUUUACCAGUGGCACAGACAGACGGAGAACUUGCCUAAUGCAGCCUCUUCCCAUGAAGUCGCCUGCCCUAUGAUAAGUAGCAAAAGCUAGUUUGUGCCCACAGAGAGACAGCAGGUGGCCAGCACCACCUCCACACCUGCUGACUUCUCCCCUAGAGUCCUUCUUGAGUUCCCCAUCCCUGCCCCCACCCCAGCCCCCGACCCCAGCCCCCGACCCCAGCAGCCCCCGACCCCAGUGCUUCACCCACAGCCUUUCAGCAAAUUUCAUAAAAGUGCUCCAUUUGUCCUUUUAGGGGAAGCCAGAUGUAAAGAGUCCAGGAGGUUUCUUGGACCUAAAGGGUCCUGCCUGUUCCAGCUCAAUCACAGCCAAGUCCUUCCUUCUCCUGACUGAGGUCAGCAGCUUGGCUGACCCCAGGGACAUGGAACCCCUCCCUCAGAGACACCCUACUUUCUUCCAGGGACACCCUGGCUCCUUCAAACCGGAUCAUGACCCAUGAUCCCCUGGAGAGAAGUCCGAGGGGGCUCUCGCCCCCCACACCUCUCUGAGAGCAGGGCCGGGGGCCCCUGCAGGCUUAAAUUCUUCUGCAUCCUGACUCUUCACUAGGGAUUGUGUGAUGCUGGGGAAGUUUACCUCCCCAAGGCCCCUUUUCCCAUCUGAAAAAUGGGAUGACAACACCUACCUUGCAAGCGUCUCUAUUGUUGCAGGAAUAGAGAUGAUAUAGGGAGCAGGCCUGGCCAAGAGGAGCCAGAUAAGUGCCAACUUCUUUACCCUCCCCCGAGCUGGCCUGCCAGGAGCCAAGGACACUCGGGAUAAUCCCUUCCCCUGCAGGGUGAUCUUUAAAGCAGCCUCUCGGAGCACCUUUCUGUCCCUGACCCUCGGCGUGGUCUCUGCCAGCCUCUCACCCAUCCGGCAUCCUCAAACUUCCCUUCCUCCCCAGCAGCCAGCCAUGCGACAUGGCUGUCCCCUGCUGGCAUCCGGCCCCACUUCUUGUUCUUCAGGUCUUUUCUGGGAUAUGGGGCCAACGGGGCAGGAGCACUACUCUUCUGUCCCAGACGGACUACAGGGCAAAGAUGUCCCCACCCCCCCCAAGCCCUUUCCCUUUGUCUGAUGGUUCCAGGCUGGAGGAAGGGCCUGCUCUUCUGUUUUCAAGGAGAGCCAGACAUCGAAGAGCUCUUUGGAGCUAUGGAGGGGUAGUCCCCACUCCCAGGCCUCCCCUCAGCACUGUCCCAUCCACAGGGACAGAGCCCUCAGUCGCUAUGCCUCGAUUGCCCCGUCAAUCCCAGCAGCUUCCUUCAUCCCCUGACUCUUCGGCCUUGGGCAGCCAUCUGGGUGGUCACUGCUGGGCUGGUGGAGUUGACAGGCUGGGACAUCAGCUGAGCUUUGUCUCCCUGAUGCUUGAGAACCAGCAACGAGGCAAAGGCCCUCAUCACCAGCCUCCCUGAGAAGGGAUCCUUCUCCCCCUCUCCUGGCUCCAGGCGUGUUGCGGGGGUGCUGCCCAGCAGAGGGCCAGCCUUGGACUCCAGGUCCCCAGUCCAUCCUCCUGAUGUGGGCUUGCAGCUGGAGAGCAGCUGGAAGCCCCUAGAAAGCCCUGAUGUCCGGCUCAGGUCCGUCCUCGGCUGUACAGCACACACGUGGUCACUCAGAAGGGAAGGUGGUGGCUCUUGGCCCCAUCUGUGCCGCCCGGAGGUCCUGAACCCCAAGGAACGCUGGCUCCUGGCUCCUGCUGUGGCUGCACAUGCCAGGGUCACUGGGGUGUUAUAAGGCAGGGCUGGGAGGAGGUGAGCCCUGGAGGGUCCAUUCCUUAAUUCUUGGCUUCAAGAUGGCCCGAGCUGUGGGGCACUCAGGUCCUGGGAGCUGCCAAAGGGCAAUGUACUCAAGAGUCAAGGUCACCCAGGCCUUUCUGCUCCCUGAGCAGGCAGGAGAGGGGGACGUCCUCUUCUGUUUCUACAGCUGGUGACAAGGGCAAACCCGUUUGACCCACCUCUCCUGCAGUGAAUACCCUGGAGAGAAAUACAUUCUUGACUUUUCUAAGAACUCACGUCUGGGCUUGAACUAGAGCGGAGGCUGUUUCUCUCCAGCUGCAGUUCUUCUUUCAGUAACCACCUCUCUCCUUAUCUCUGAGAAGCAGCUCCAAGCUCACCACGUCCUGGAGCAAGCCCACCCCCCGCUGCUCCU
ensembl:lncRNA